rnacentral:rRNA from 1 species
GACGUAGGGCGCGAGCGUUGUCCGGAUUUAUUGGGCGUAAAGAGCUCGUAGGCGGCUUGUCGCGUCGACUGUGAAAUCCCGCGGCUCAACUGCGGGUCUGCAGUCGAUACGGGCAGGCUAGAGUUCGGUAGGGGAGACUGGAAUUCCUGGUGUAGCGGUGAAAUGCGUAGAGAUCAGGAGGAACACCAAUGGCGAAGGCAGCUCUCUGGCUUCACCCUGACGCUGAGGCGCGAAAGCGUGGGGAGCGAACGGG